AGAUAAGUGCUGAAAGCAUCUAAGCACGAAACUUGCCCCGAGAUGAGUUCUCCCUGAGACUUUAAGUCUCCUGAAGGAACGUUGAAGACGACGACGUUGAUAGGCCGGGUGUGUAAGCGCAGUGAUGCGUUGAGCUAACCGGUACUAAUGAACCGUGAGGCUUAACCUU
rnacentral:rRNA from 1 species